CUCACUGUCUGUGCUUUGAAUAUAUUUUUAUUCAUUAAAAGAAGCUAAUGAAGUUCAAUAUAUUUUGAGAGACUCUGCUGCAUAAUAUUUUAUCACUAAAUUAAAGUGAAGAAUCCUUGUUCUCACACAGAGCAAGAUGAAAUAUAGUACACUGAAGGAAAUGUCCAAUUAUCUUAACACAAAUGUUAGCAAUAAUGGGCCUUUUGUGUUUUAUUAUACCAAGUUGUUGCUAGCUCUACCUUAUUAAAAUUUUCAGUUCAGAAGACAGAUCCAAAAGAGAUAGAGAUAUAUUAAUGCUAAUCAUUAGCCAACCAACAAGCAUUUAUUAAGCUUCUUUUAUGAGCCUGGCGAUGUACUAAUUGAG
rnacentral:lncRNA from 1 species